rnacentral:rRNA from 1 species
GAUGAACGCUGGCGGCGUGCCUAAUACAUGCAAGUCGAGCGAACAGAUGAGGAGCUUGCUCCUCUGACGUUAGCGGCGGACGGGUGAGUAACACGUGGAUAACCUACCUAUAAGACUGGGAUAACUUCGGGAAACCGGAGCUAAUACCGGAUAAUAUAUUGAACCGCAUGGUUCAAUAGUGAAAGACGGUUUUGCUGUCACUUAUAGAUGGAUCCGCGCCGCAUUAGCUAGUUGGUAAGGUAACGGCUUACCAAGGCAACGAUGCGUAGCCGACCUGAGAGGGUGAUCGGCCACACUGGAACUGAGACACGGUCCAGACUCAUACGGGAGGCAGCAGUAGGGAAUCUUCCGCAAUGGGCGAAAGCUUGACGGAGCAACGCCGCGUGAGUGAUGAAGGUCUUCGGAUCGUAAAACUCUGUUAUUAGGGAAGAACAAAUGUGUAAGUAACUAUGCACGUCUUGACGGUAACUAAUCAGAAAGCCACGGCUAACUACGUG